UGGAGGAGCACGUGUUGCAGUGCAGAAGGGACGGGACCUGGGGAAAGAUGGUCAACAUUAACAUGUCAACAUCUGUGAUCGACUGCGAGUUAAGUAAUAAAUUCUGACUGAGGUAGACCGACAGACAGCCACCCACUAAACGAAGGACCUUGGUUUCGUGAACUUACUGGACUACCCAGAACCGGACUUGUGCCUAAGGACCUCCAAAUUCAAUCAAAUCUAACAGAAAACGUGACCAUUGGCUGGACAAUCCUGGACUUUGACAGACUGGCGGUUAAGAAAAGACAUGGCUCAGCUGUGUCUGCACAAGAGGAACAUUACCACCCCCUGUUACUAAAUUACAAAGGAGCUUGGCUGAAGACUUCAUCCUUUAUUGUGUCUGAUUCUAUAAAUAUUCAUGGUCGGCAUUCAUCAAUGGCCAAUCAGAUCACAAUCGGAACUGAGCAGAUGAUCUGUUGAGGAAGCUGAGCCAAGUGCCUCCCUUCCAGGGUUUUCUUCAUGGUCUAGUCCCGUGAAGAAUCAUCAAGAUUCCUCACUGUUCAGAUUCCCAGCAUGGCGUCUAUGUCCCCAGCCUGCAGCCUCUGAUGGACUGAGGGACCUGUUCCAUUGUAGCUGUGCUGAAGUCAGACAGUCAGGCAUACAACCUAAUUGGAAACUUAAUCACGUCUGCUGAUGGCUGCUGGUGGGCAUAUGAAGAUUGGCGGGACUGGUCCAGGUUGGCUUUCUUUGCCACUGUUCUGUGAGUGCUACGUGCUCUACAAACCAGGCUGUCUGUGCCAGCAGCCGCUGAGAGGGAGCCAUCCGCCGUCACGCUGUGAGGAGCUAUGACCUAAAGAGACCUGAGCCCUAGGACCAUGCCUCAGGACUACCUGACAUGAUGACUCCUUGCUGUCCCC